GACAGAGGGUGCAAACGUUGUUCGGAAUUACUGGGCGUAAAGCGCGUGUAGGCGGCCAUGCAAGUCGGAUGUGAAAGCCCUCGGCUCAACCGGGGAAGUGCACUCGAAACUGCAAGGCUAGAGUCUCGGAGAGGAUCGUGGAAUUCUCGGUGUAGAGGUGAAAUUCGUAGAUAUCGAGAGGAACACCGGUGGCGAAGGCGGCGAUCUGGACGAUGACUGACGCUGAGACGCGAAAGCGUGGGGAGCGAACGGG
rnacentral:rRNA from 1 species